UUCAGUUCUCUGUAAUUACCCCGAUCCACUCUUGAUCAAUUAAUUAUGUUAUUUACUCCUUUCUUCGUACUUGCGUUCCACCUCCCUCUGGUUCUCCUCCUAUAUAAAUUGCUAUGUCUAAUCUUAAAUCCAACCAAAAAUCCAGAAUAUCCACUGAUAAGCAAAGUCUAUGAAAUCAUGUAUAUUCUUCUUCCUCACCCUCAUCUCUACGAAACAUUUUCGGAAAUUUUUCAAGUUCUGGAUGUUAUACGGAGAGAAAAGCAAGACGGUCAUGUAGUCAUGUGCGGCAAUUUCUAAGGAUGGAGGCACUGGAGCAAACGAUCAUGUAUCCAUCGAUCCAAAUCAUCUAGCACCCAUCGAACCAUUUUGUUCGGACGCUCUACUUCCCUCUCUAGAGAGAGUAUCAAAGAGACAAUCUAAGAUUUUUCAUUUCUUUUUUAAUUUUCGAUUUUGAAAUAUUACAAGAAAAUUAAAAAUCGUAUAUUCUAUUUCCUUUCAUCAUUUAUAUUAAGGGAGGAUACAAAUUGUCUCUGCUGGUGGAGAGACAGAGAGAAUACGAUUCCGGAAACAUAGCUGGCUAAACUUGGCAAGCUUUCUACGUCUUCUUCUUCAAGCUCUUGCCUUGCUUCAGUGAACAUCGAAGAGAUUGUGGAGGGAGUGGCGUCGUUAAUAGCUUUACAGAAGUGGAGAGCAAACCAGAGUCUGUUGUUGCCGACAGUGCUGUGGCAGAAUCUUCAGGUGUCGUUUUAUCUUGGCUUCUCCCUGUGAUUGAGCCCAAGGUGACGGUAAUAAAAGCUUUUCACGAGUAUGAACAAUGCAUGUGGAGGGGUCUUAGUGUUAUGACAGGGCUGAAUCAUAAUCAUCAUCAAAGCCUAGGCUACGUAAAUCGAAGACUGGGAGACAACAGAAAGUUGCUCGCAUUCUUGCCGAGGAUGCUGCUAAGUUUCUUCUAUUGCUUCUAUUUUUAGUUAUUUUACCUCUGUGCUAUUUUUAAGAUUCCUAUUUUUCUGCGCACUACACUAUUACUCUCACACUUACAUAAGCAGUGAAAGCUACUUUUUAGCAUCGAUCGCCACGGUGAUCAUCACUAGGUAAUGUUUUUAUUAAGCACUUUUGAUUAUCAAUAAAGAUUAGAAAAAUAUACAUUCUCAGUUUUUCUUAUUGAACGCUCAUGAUAAGGCAACAUUACAUUAAUGUCAGAUACAUAACGUUGAUUACCAAUAUUGAGUUGUUAUUUGCUAGAGUCUUUUUAAAUUGUGUUUAGUUAUUUUGUAGGAAGUUUGUAACUUUUUCCAGAAUUACUUCAUAUAAAUGGUGAAAGUUUAUAGGAUCUUUAACUUUUCUAAAGGAUAUUGUUAAUUUAUAUAUUCUCUAUAAUGAAUCGUUAACCCUCUUGGAAUUAGUAGAGAACAAUUGAGAGUCAUUUUCUUGAAAGUUUGUUAAUAGUUCUGUGUCCCAUGU